AUGGAGAUUUCCGAGCAUGUCAACAAAGUUGAUAAUUCUCCUAAUAUCUUAAUUGCUUAUCACAUCUCAUUUGUUUUCGUGACUAUCGUAGUGGCCGAAAUAAGCUUUUCAAAGUUGAAAUUAUUGAAGAACUAUUUGAGAUCAACAAUGACUCAAAAGAGGUUAGAUGGUUUGGCAACAUUAUUGCAUUGAGAAGAAAUUAUUGGAUGAGAUGGACAUCGACCCCAUCGUAAGUCACUUUGCAUGGAGGAAUUUAGAUGA
rnacentral:rRNA from 1 species